rnacentral:tRNA from 1 species
AAAGAAAUCCCACCCAAAAAAGCUUCUAACUUUUUUUAAGAGCCUAGCGUUCAGAUUUCUU